GAGAUCGGGAUAACACCUGGAAACAGAUGCUAAUACCGGAUAACAACAGAUGAUGCCUAUCAACUGUUUAAAAGAUGGUUCUGCUAUCACUCUUGGAUGGACCUGCGGUGCAUUAGCUAGUUGGUAGGUAACGGCCUACCAAGGCGAUGAUGCAUAGCCGAGUUGAGAGACUGAUCGGCCACAUUGGGACUGAGACACGGCCCAAACUCCUACGGGAGGCAGCAGUC
rnacentral:rRNA from 1 species